UACGUAGGGGGCAAGCGUUGUCCGGAUUUACUGGGCGUAAAGAGCGCGUAGGCGGAGAUCUAAGCGUGGCCUGAAAGCCCCCCGGCUCAACCGGGGAGUGCGGCUGCGAACUGGGUUUCUUGAGGACGAUAGAGGAGAGUGGAAUUCCUGGUGUAGCGGUGAAAUGCGUAGAUAUCAGGAGGAACACCCGAGGCGAAGGCGGCUCUCUGGGUCGUACCUGACGCUGAGGCGCGAAAGCGUGGGGAGCGAACGGG
rnacentral:rRNA from 1 species